rnacentral:rRNA from 1 species
UACGUAGGGUGCAAGCGUUACUCGGAAUUACUGGGCGUAAAGCGUGCGCAGGCGGUAAUGUAAGUCAGAUGUGAAAUCCCCGGGCUCAACCUGGGAACUGCAUUUGUGACUGCAUUGCUGGAGUGCGGCAGAGGGGGAUGGAAUUCCGCGUGUAGCAGUGAAAUGCGUAGAUAUGCGGAGGAACACCGAUGGCGAAGGCAAUCCCCUGGGCCUGCACUGACGCUCAUGCACGAAAGCGUGGGGAGCAAACAGG